rnacentral:lncRNA from 1 species
CUUAUUCCUCAGGACUCCCGCUUCAGGGUAGCUUGAAUCUGGUGGGGAAAAAAAAUUACAAAAACGCUGGAUGGGCUCGUGUGCUGCUUCAACAGCAGAAUGGAAACAAAAGGUGGAGCAACAUGGAGAGAGAGGCAGCCAGAUAGCUAGGAGCUGCUGCUGCUGCAGUAACUCAGGGCUGGAGGUGCUCACAUGUUUUGCAUUGCAGGGUGCAUGUACUCAAGUCCAGAAAGCUCUGCUCGCUGGCAUCCCUCAUGAUGCUCCACCAGCCUAUUUUUGCACUGGCAAGGAGGUGUUCUUUCAGUUUACAUUAGGUAAUGAUGAGCCAGCUGAGGAGGUGUUCUCAAGGUAUUUAAACAGGAUUUUUUUUUUUAUACUAAUCUGUAUAAGAAGAGUUGAAUCGAUGACAUCUCACAAUACAUCUAAGAGAAAACAUCCAAGAGAUGGGAAAUGUUCAACAUCCUGCAGCUCUCCCACUCUGCAUUUCAGGUGACUGGCAUUGUCUCCAUGCUCCUCCCUGCACAAUGAGCAUCCAUUGUCUGAUCCACAUGCCACAUCUAUUGCUGUUACCAGAAGAGAUGGGACCAGGACACUGAUGAAUAUAUGCCUAUUAGAUAGGUAGGGCUCUAGAUGGGGAAUUGCAUGACUGAAAGAGAGUAGAUUAAAUGAUGAAAUUUUGCAGUCCGUUGACUGUACUAAAGCAACCAUGCUU